UAAAGGCUCAUGGUCGAGAGGGAAACAGCCCAGAGCAUCGACUAAGGCCCCUAAGCGUACGCUAAGUGGGAAAGGAUGUGGAGUCGCACAGACAACCAGGAGGUUGGCUUAGAAGCAGCCACCCUUGAAAGAGUGCGUAAUAGCUCACUGGUCUAGUGAUUCCGCGCCGACAAUGUAGCGGGGCUCAAGCGUACCGCCGAAGUCGUGUCAUUGCAGCAAUAGGGCCAACGCCUGCUGUGAUGGGUAGGGGAGCGUCGUGUGCCGGGUGAAGCCGCGCCGGAAGGCAGUGGUGGACGGUUCACGAGUGAGAAUGCAGGCAUGAGUAGCGAUACACACGUGAGAAACGUGUGCGCCGAUUGACUAAGGGUUCCUGGGUCAAGCUGAUCUGCCCAGGGUAAGUCGGGACCUAAGGCGAGGCCGACAGGCGUAGUCGAUGGAUAACCGGUUGAUAUUCCGGUACCCGCUGUGAAGCGUCAAACAUUGAACCAGGCGAUGCUAAGUCCGUGAAGCCGCCCUGGAGCCUUCGGGCGAAGGGGAGUGGUGGAGCCGACGGACCAGACCUGUAGUAGGUGAGUGAUGGGGUGACGCAGGAAGGUAGUCCAUCCCGGGCGGUGGUUGUCCCGGGGUAAGGGUGUAGGACGUUGUCCAGGUAAAUCCGGACAGCACAUAGUCUGAGACCUGAUGCCGAGCCGAUUGUGGUGAAGUGGAUGAUCCUAUGCUGUCGAGAAAAGCCUCUAGCGAGUUUCAUGGCGGCCCGUACCCUAAACCGACUCAGGUGGUCAGGUAGAGAAUACCGAGGCGUUCGGGUGAACUAUGGUUAAGGAACUCGGCAAAAUGCCCCCGUAACUUCGGGAGAAGGGGGGCCAUCACCGGUGAUGAGUCUUGCACUCUGAGCUGGGGGUGGCCGCAGAGACCAGCGAGAAGCGACUGUUUACUAAAAACACAGGUCCGUGCGAAGCCGUAAGGCGAUGUAUACGGACUGACGCCUGCCCGGUGCUGGAACGUUAAGGGGACCGGUUAGUCACUCUUCGGGGUGGCGAG
rnacentral:rRNA from 1 species